AUGAAACACUCCUACGGGAGGCAGCAGUGGGGAAUAUUGCACAAUGGGCGCAAGCCUGAUGCAGCGACGCCGCGUGGGGGAUGACGGCCUUCGGGUUGUAAACUCCUUUCGCCAGGGACGAAGCGUUUUGUGACGGUACCUGGAGAAGAAGCACCGGCUAACUACGUGCCAGCAGCCGCGGUAAUACGUAGGGUGCAAGCGUUGUCCGGAAUUACUGGGCGUAAAGAGCUCGUAGGUGGUUUGUCACGUCGUCUGUGAAAUUCCACAGCUUAACUGUGGGCGUGCAGGCGAUACGGGCUGACUUGAGUACUGUAGGGGUAACUGGAAUUCCUGGUGUAGCGGUGAAAUGCGCAGAUAUCAGGAGGAACACCGAUGGCGAAGGCAGGUUACUGGGCAGUUACUGACGCUGAGGAGCGAAAGCAUGGGUAGCAAACAGGAUUAGAAACCCCAGUAGUCCGAAGUUC
rnacentral:rRNA from 1 species